rnacentral:piRNA from 1 species
GCCACACCAACCUCGUUCCGGGGAUGCCUCA